rnacentral:rRNA from 1 species
ACUCCUACGGGAGGCAGCAGUGGGGAAUAUUGCACAAUGGGGGAAACCCUGAUGCAGCGACGCCGCGUGGAGGAAGAAGGUCUUCGGAUUGUAAACUCCUGUUGUUGGGGAAGAUAAUGACGGUACCCAACAAGGAAGUGACGGCUAACUACGUGCCAGCAGCCGCGGUAAAACGUAGGUCACAAGCGUUGUCCGGAAUUACUGGGUGUAAAGGGAGCGCAGGCGGGAAGACAAGUUGGAAGUGAAAUCUAUGGGCUCAACCCAUAAACUGCUUUCAAAACUGUUUUUCUUGAGUAGUGCAGAGGUAGGCGGAAUUCCCGGUGUAGCGGUGGAAUGCGUAGAUAUCGGGAGGAACACCAGUGGCGAAGGCGGCCUACUGGGCACCAACUGACGCUGAGGCUCGAAAGUGUGGGUAG